GAAUAUUGGGCAAUGGGCGUAAGCCUGACCCAGCGACGCCGCGUGAGGGAUGAAGGUCUUCGGAUUGUAAACCUCUUUCAGCAGGGAAGAAGCGAAAGUGACGGUACCUAAAGAAGAAGCACCGGCUAACUAUGUGCCAGCAGCCGCGGUAAUACAUAGGGUGCAAGCGUUGUCCGGAAUUAUUGGGCGUAAAGAGCUCGUAGGUCGUUUGUCGCGUCGAUUGUGAAAAUCUGAGGCUCAACCUCAGACCUGCAGUCGAUACGGGCAAACUAGAGUGUGGUAGGGGAGACUGGAAUUCCUGGUGUAGCGGUGGAAUGCGCAGAUAUCAGGAGGAACACCAAUGGCGAAGGCAGGUCUCUGGGCCAUAACUGACACUGAGGAGCGAAAGUGCGGGGAGCGAACAGGAUUAGAUACCCCAGUAGUC
rnacentral:rRNA from 1 species